rnacentral:rRNA from 1 species
GCGUACGGGUGAGUAACACGUGGAUCAUCUACCUCUUAGUGGGGAAUAACCCUGGGAAACCGGGGCUAAUACCGCAUAAGCCUGUGAAGGGAAAGCAGAAAUGCGCUGAGAGAGGAGUCCGCGGCCGAUUAGCUAGUUGGUAGGGUAAAGGCCUACCAAGGCAAUGAUCGGUAGCCGGCCUGAGAGGGCACACGGCCACACUGGCACUGAAACACGGGCCAGACUCCUACGGGAGGCAGCAGUGGGGAAUCUUGCACAAUGGAGGAAACUCUGAUGCAGCGACGCCGCGUGAGCGAUGAAGCCCUUCGGGGUGUAAAGCUCUUUCGACGGGAACGAUAAUGACGGUACCCGGAGAAGAAGCUGCGGCUAACUACGUGCCAGCAGCCGCGGUAAUACGUAGGCAGCAAGCGUUGUUCGGAAUUACUGGGCGUAAAGAGUGUGUAGGCGGUUCUCUAUGUUCGGUGUGAAAUCUCCCGGCUUAACUGGGAGGGUGCGCCGAAAACUGGAGGGCUUGAGUAUGGGAGAGGAAAGCGGAAUUCCUGGUGUAGCGG